CUCCGGAUGAUCUAAUAUACUAGUUGGUUGAGCAUUUCGGGAUGAUUGGUAUUCAGUGCACAUGCAUGCUCAUCUAGCCUCCUCUUCUAUCCCCCCUUCUUCUCCUUUCCAAUACAAAGAUUCAAUUUCACACUUCUGGUA
ensembl:ncRNA T21B6.16 ncRNA